rnacentral:rRNA from 1 species
UGAACGCUGGCGGCGUGCCUAAUACAUGCAAGUCGAGCGAACAGACGAGGAGCUUGCUCCUUUGACGUUAGCGGCGGACGGGUGAGUAACACGUGGAUAACCUACCUAUAAGACUGGGAUAACUUCGGGAAACCGGAGCUAAUACCGGAUAACAUGUUGAACCGCAUGGUUCAACAGUGAAAGACGGUUUUGCUGUCACUUAUAGAUGGAUCCGCGCCGCAUUAGCUAGUUGGUAAGGUAACGGCUUACCAAGGCAACGAUGCGUAGCCGACCUGAGAGGGUGAUCGGCCACACUGGAACUGAGACACGGUCCAGACUCCUACGGGAGGCAGCAGUAGGGAAUCUUCCGCAAUGGGCGAAAGCCUGACGGAGCAACGCCGCGUGAGUGAAGAAGGUCUUCGGAUCGUAAAACUCUGUUAUUAGGGAAGAACAAAUGUGUAAGUAACUAUGCACGUCUUGACGGUACCUAAUCAGAAAGCCACGGCUAACUACGUG